rnacentral:siRNA from 1 species
AGACGAAUCUCUCUUUCCUGCAUC